GCAGCUGUGCCACUGCCCCAGCUGAGGUUUGGAUCUGUGUCUCCUGAGUCCUUUAAUCCUCAUAUUCCUGCCCCUGUGAGCUCUGAGUUCAGCCUGUCACCAGGCUGGGUUACCCAGAACAGCCUCAGCUUCCCCACCAAGGACCGAGGAGGGUGAAGAACAGAGAGGUUCCUGCCAUGCUCCAACAGUGAAAAUAUUCCUGGUUUCCUGUUGGCAGCCCUGAGACAGUUACCUUUUGCUCUGUGUUGGGCUGGAAGCCAGUUUACAUGACUACAAGGAUCAGCUUACUGCAGAAAAACAGGCCAUGCUUGCUGACCAUGGAGAUUAUUUUUAAUGUGGCUCCCAUCCCACAGGAGCAAGGACUGCCAGGAAUCUCCCUUCCAUUUUGAAAGCUAUCAGGGUGAACAGGAAACUCAUCAAGCCAAAGUCAGAAGUCUCAAGAAGCUAUUCACCACACUGCAAACCCCUGCUAGGCGGGGAUUUGCUGAAGAGAGGUGUCGAUGAGGACAUGCAAGUGGGUCAGAAUGACAAGUUUCUUCAAGCUGAAUUGCACCAUUUUUUAAAAAUUACCUUCUGGAGAAAGUCUAAGGACAAAAACACACCUCUGCUAGCUAAGCAAAACUCUCCUAAAAGUUCUUGUGCAGAAUAAACUCUACAUCUGA